GAUGAACGCUAGCGGCAGGCUUAAUACAUGCAAGUCGAGGGGCAGCAUGAUUGUAGCAAUACAAUUGAUGGCGACCGGCAAACGGGUGCGGAACACGUACACAACCUUCCAACAAGUGGGGGAUAGCCCAGAGAAAUUUGGAUUAAUACCCCGUAACAUAGCGAUGUGGCAUCACAUUGCUAUUAUAGAUUUUUCGCUUGUUGAUGGGUGUGCGGCUGAUUAGAUAGUUGGCGGGGUAACGGCCCACCAAGACUACGAUCAGUAGCUGAUGUGAGAGCAUGAUCAGCCACACGGGCACUGAGACACGGGCCCGACUCCUACGGGAGGCAGCAGUAAGGAAUAUUGGACAAUGGACGCAAGUCUGAUCCAGCCAUACCGCGUGAAGGAUUAAGGUCCUCUGGAUUGUAAACUUCUUUUAUAAGGGACGAAAAAAGGCUUUUCUAAGUCGUCUGACGGUACCUUAUGAAUAAGCACCGGCUAACUCCGUGCCAGCCGCCGCAGUAACAC
rnacentral:rRNA from 1 species